rnacentral:rRNA from 1 species
AGGGUUUGAUCAUGGCUCAGAAUCAACGCUGGCGGCGUGCCUAACACAUGCAAGUCGAACGCGAAAGGGGAGCAAUCCCUGAGUAGAGUGGCAAACGGGUGAGUAACACGUGGGUGACCUGCCUUCGAGUGGGGGAUAACGUCCCGAAAGGGACGCUAAUACCGCAUGACAUCCUGUCCUUAGACGGACGGAGAUCAAAGCUAGGGAUCGCAAGACCUGGCGCUUGAAGAGGGGCCCGCGCCUGAUUAGCUAGUUGGUGAGGUAACGGCUCACCAAGGCUACGAUCAGUAUCCGGCCUGAGAGGGCGGACGGACACACUGGGACUGAGACACGGCCCAGACUCCUACGGGAGGCAGCAGUGGGGAAUUGUUCGCAAUGGGCGCAAGCCUGACGACGCAACGCCGCGUGGAGGAUGAAGAUCUUCGGGUCGUAAACUCCUGUCGAAUGGGAAGAAUGUUUCGUGGAUGAAUAAGCCGCGAAAGUGACGGUACCAUUAAAGGAAGCCCCGGCUAACUCCGUGCCAGCAGCCGCGGUAAUACGGGGGGGGCAAGCGUUGUUCGGAAUUACUGGGCGUAAAGGGCUCGUAGGUGGCCAACUAAGUCAGACGUGAAAUCCCCAGGCUCAACUUGGGAACUGCGUCUGAUACUGGAUGGCUUGAAUUCGGGAGAGGGAUGCAGAAUUCCAGGUGUAGCGGUGAAAUGCGUAGAUAUCUGGAGGAAUACCGGUGGCGAAAGCGGCAUCCUGGACCGAUAUUGACACUGAUGAGCGAAAGCUAGGGGAGCAAACGGGAUUAGAUACCCCGGUAGUCCUAGCCCUAAAC